rnacentral:lncRNA from 1 species
UCUGAAGGCAUCAUUUAUUGUAUGCAGCCAUACGACCAAGGCAAAUAAGGAACCCACCACCACUGCACCCGGGCCGCCAAACGCCAGUUCGCCAAAUGCACGUGGCUGCUGCGGAACUGGCGGAAGACCAGAGGCGCCUGCUGGCACUUCAGGAGCAUAUGCUCCUGCAAAACGCCCAUCAAUGGGAGGCAAUCCAACAGCAUCUCUCUGCGAUUGAAGCUGCACAGCGCCGGCAGGCAGACGCCCUAGCAGACAUCGCAACGGUCCUCCGGGAUGCAUUUGAAGGUGGGCAGCAGCCGCGGCGGACGCAAGACGACUCCUAAGGAAAAUGAAUUUUGAGCAGUUUUCAUUUUCUCUCUAUGUUAAUUUAAAUAAUGCACUAAUGGACAUGGCUGGCGCUGCUCAUAAAAAGACACAGCAAAAG